AAUUUCCCAAAUUUCCCUAACCCUAACCCUAACCCUAAACCUAAACCCUCUAUAUUCUUCUUUUUCAUUUAGGCUUUUCAUUUUCUAUUUUUCCUCUUUUAUUCCUUAAUCUUCCUCUCUUCCUCUUACAUUCUCUUCUUUUUCCAUUUUAUUCUUCAUCGUUUCAUCUUUCUCUUUUUCUCAUUCUUGUUCAAGAAUUUCUGCUUUAAAACCUAGAUAUUGAAAAUUAAUUUUAGGGUUUGUCAUUCUUUUUAAUACUGUUUCGUUUUUGAUGCAACAAGUUUUUUUAUUGAAUUUGUUGGUAUAAAAUCUACUUCAAAAAGGAAUUGGUUCUAUCGAAUGUUUUGUAAGUCUAAUGUUUAAAACAUUAAAUAAAGAAUUUGGAUAUAAAGUAAAUAGAUCAUGUGUCACAACAUCUUAUCAUUUGAAUCUGUUAUCUUUAUCUUUUAAAUGGCCAAGUGUUAAAAAACUGUGAUUUGGGUAUAAGGAAUUUCCAAUGUUCUUCAACACCUGUCCAGCCAUGUGCCACGACAUCUUAUGUGAAUUCAUUAUCUUUUCAUUUUAGAUGACCAACUGUCAAAAAUCUGUAAUUUGUAAAAUAAUUUAUACGUAUUUUGUAAAUAUUAUAAUUGCUUAUGUAGGUAUUUACAUCUAUUUUUAAGGUUACGUUAUAUAUGAAAUAUAUUUUAUCAAUUUUGGCAUUCUAUUUAGCAUUAUGUUUUGCUUGUAUAUAUAAAUCUUAAAUGUUUUGCUGAUUUUUUUCUUUUAAAAUUUUAAAUGUUGUUUGAUUAUUAUUUUUUCAUUUUCAGAUUGAUUAGAAGAAGAAUAUAAAAAGCAAAGAAGGUAUCUUGUCAUUUAUUUAAUUUUAAGAUUUUAAAUCUAGGUUCUCAAAAUAACUUUGAUUUUAGAAAUGUCCAUACUCAAUAAUUCAUUCUCUGCACACUUGGAUCUCCUUUCUGUAUUUUUUUACAUAUUUGGGCAUUAUUUUGCUGAUUUGCUUGUAUUUUUUUUUCAUAUUUGGGGUUUUCAUUUUUAUUAGCAUCAUGUUGUUGUUGCUGAUUUGCUUGCUGAAUUCCUUAGCAUUUCAUUUAGCAUUAUGUUUGAUUAUAUAUAAAUCGUAAUGUUUGUUGCUGAUUUAUUUGCUUGCUAAUGUUUGUAUUUUGCUUCUAUAAAUAAAUCUUAAAUGUUUUGCUGAUUUUUUUCUUUUAAAAUUUUAAAUGUUGUUUGAUUAUUAUUUUUUUCUUUUUCAGAUUGAUUAGAAGAAGAAUAUAAAAGGCAAAAAAGGUAUCUUGUCAUUUAUUUAAUUUUAAGAUUUUAAAUCUAGGUUCUCAAAAUAACUUUGAUUUUAGAAAUGUCCAUACUCAAUAAUUCAUUCUCUGCACACUUGGAUCUCCUUUCUGUAUUUUUUUACAUAUUUGGGUAUUAUGUCGCUGAUUUGCUUGUAUUUUUUUUUCAUAUUUGGGGUUUUCAUUUUUAUUAGCAUCAUGUUGUUGUUGCUGAUUUGCUUGCUGAAUUCCUUAGCAUUUCAUUUAGCAUUAUGUUUGAUUAUAUAUAAAUCUUAAAUGUUUGUUGCUGAUUUAUUUGCUUGCUAAUGUUUGUAUUUUGCUUCUAUAUAUAAAUCUUAAAUGUUUUGCUGAUUUUUUUUUUUAAAUUUUAAAUGUUGUCUGAUUAUUUUUUUUUUUUUUUCCAGAUUGAUUAGAAGAAGAAUAUAAAAGGCAAAGAAGGUAUCUUGUCAUUUAUUUAAUUUUAAGAUUUUAAAUCUAGGUUCUCAAAAUAACUUUGAUUUUAGAAAUGUCCAUACUCAAUAAUUCAUUCUCUGCACACUUGGAUCUCCUUUAUGUAUUUUUUUACAUAUUUGGGCAUUAUGUUGCUGAUUUGCUUGUAUUUUUUUUUCAUAUUUGGGGUUUUCAUUUUUAUUAGCAUUAUGUUGUUGUUGCUGAUUUGCUUGCUGAAUUCCAUAGCAUUUCAUUUAGUAUUAUGUUUGAUUAUAUAUAAAUCUUAAAUGGAUUUCAUAUAUUGGAUUUCAUAUAUUGGAUAUCAUAUAUUUUCUUUGUGAGUAAUUUUUUUAUUUUAAUUAUUUUUCUGUUUUUAUUAUUUUUAAGUGUUGAAUAUUUUGUUGUAUUCACAUAUUAUAAAUGACACCCAAAAAAACAUCGGCUAGUAAGAAACGACGAUUUACUCGAAGUUUUGUCGACAAUGAAGAACCUACUUCAAGUACUCAUAUUCCGACUCCAACUUUAACUCCAACUCUAACUCCAACUCCUCAAGAUAGGAAUACUCCUCAAGUUCCGACUCCAACAUUUGUUCAGCUCCUUAUGAAUUCUCUUUCAAUUUUAGAUAUUAGAUCAUGAAUUAAUGUUGUGUUAGGGACAAGAUGUUAUAUUUGUUGAAUAUUAGAUUAUUUUAAUCAUUAAUGUUAAAUGAAUUUAGUGAAUAAUAUUGAAUGUAAAUUAUGAAUGUUAUAUGAUUUUUACAGGAA
rnacentral:lncRNA from 1 species